UGUAACUCCAGGACAAGAAAAUAAAGUAUGUAGGUUGGUAAAGUCAUUAUAUGGACUUAAACAAGCACCAAAACAAUAGCAUGAAAAAUAAAGUUGUCUCUAGAU